CUCCGGUUGAUCCCGCCGACCCUGACUGCUAUCGGAUUGGUACUAAGCCAUGCGAGUCGUUGUAGCAAUACAAGGCGGACGGCUCAGUAACACGUAGUCAACCUAACCUAUGGACGUGGAUAACCUCGGGAAACUGAGAAUAAACCGCGAUAGAUCAUUAUGCCUGGAAUGGCUUAUGGUUCAAACAAUUUAUUGCCGUAGGAUGGGACUGCGGCCUAUCAGCUUGUUGGUGAGGUAAUGGCCCACCAAGGCUAUAACAGGUACGGGCUCUGAGAGGAGAAGCCCGGAGAUGGGUACUGAGACACGGACCCAGGCCCUAUGGGGCGCAGCAGGCGAGAAACCUUAGCAAUGUGCGAAAGCACGACUAGGUUAAUCCGAGUGAUUUCUGUUGAAGAAAUCUUUUGUCAGUCAUAAAACCACAGACGAAUAAGGGGUGGGCAAGUCUGGUGUCAGCCGCCGCGGUAAUACCAGCACCUCGAGUGGUCAGGAGGUUUAUUGGGCCUAAAGCAUCCGUAGCCGGCUACGCAAGUCUCCGGUUAAAUCCAGCUGCUCAACAGAUGGGCUGCCGGAGAUACUACAUAGCUAGGGAGCGGGAGAGGCAGACGGUAUUCUGUGGGUAGGGGUAAAAUCCUUUGAUCCAUAGAAGACCACCAGUGGCGAAGGCGGUCUGCCAGAACGCGUUCGACGGUGAGGGAUGAAAGCUGGGGGAGCAAACCGGAUUAGAUACCCGGGUAGUCCCAGCUGUAAACGAUGCAAACUCGGUGAUGCAUUGGCUUAUGGCCAAUGCAGUGCCGCAGGGAAGCCGUUAAGUUUGCCGCCUGGGAAGUACGGACGCAAGUCUGAAACUUAAAGGAUUGGCGGGGGAGCAC
rnacentral:rRNA from 1 species